UGCGUAGGCGGCCUGGCAAGUUGGGUGUGAAAGCCCUCGGCUCAACCGAGGAAUUGCGCUCAAAACUGCUAGGCUUGAGGGAGGUAGAGGUAAGCGGAACUAAUGGUGGAGCGGUGAAGUGCGUUGAUAUCAUUAGGAACACCUGAGGCGAAAGCAGCUUACUGGGCCUCUUCUGACGCUGAGGCACGAAAGCUAGGGGAGCGAACG
rnacentral:rRNA from 1 species